rnacentral:rRNA from 1 species
UACGUAGGGUGCGAGCGUUAAUCGGAAUUACUGGGCGUAAAGCGUGCGCAGGCGGUUUGUUAAGCCAGAGGUGAAAGCCCGGGGCUCAACUCCGGAAUUGCCUUUAAGACUGCAUCGCUAGAAUUGUGGAGAGGUAAGUGGAAUUCCGAGUGUAGAGGUGAAAUUCGUAGAUAUUCGGAAGAACACCAGUGGCGAAGGCGACUUACUGGACACAUAUUGACGCUGAGGUGCGAAAGCGUGGGGAGCAAACAGG